rnacentral:rRNA from 1 species
AUUGAACGCUGGCGGAAUGCUUUACACAUGCAAGUCGAACGGCAGCACGGGGGCAACCCUGGUGGCGAGUGGCGAACGGGUGAGUAAUACAUCGGAACGUGCCCAGUCGUGGGGGAUAACGUAGCGAAAGUUACGCUAAUACCGCAUACGAUCUCAGGAUGAAAGCGGGGGACCGUAAGGCCUCGCGCGAUUGGAGCGGCCGAUGUCAGAUUAGGUAAUUGGUGAGGUAAAGGCUCACCAAGCCUGCGGUCUGUAGCUGGUCUGAGAGGACGACCAGCCACACUGGGACUGAGACACGGCCCAGACUCCUACGGGAGGCAGCAGUGGGGAAUUUUGGACAAUGGGCGCAAGCCUGAUCCAGCCAUUCCGCGUGAAGGACGAAGGCCUUCGGGUUGUAAACUGCUUUUGUACGGAACGAAAAGCCUUGGGCUAAUACCCCGAGGUCAUGACGGUACCGUAAGAAUAAGCACCGGCUAACUACGUGCCAGCAGCCGCCGUAA